rfam:Lepisosteus oculatus linkage group LG8, whole genome shotgun sequence.
GCCAGCAGCCAUGUCACUUUGUAACUCACAACUGGCAGCCCACUGAAGCUGAGCAGGUGGGAGCCUGGCCAGUACCUGGAUGGGAGACCUCCUGGGAAAAAUUAAGGUUGCUGCUGGAA